rnacentral:lncRNA from 1 species
GGAGUCUGGCUCUCGAGAUUCGGAGGACGGUGCCUCUUCGAUUUUGGGGCAAGCAAUCUUAUUGGGAGUGUUUUCUCGAAUGUGAGUAAAGGUUGGGCAUGUUUGCUAGUCUACCUUGCCACGAAGCACAGAGGUUGACACACAGGGACUUUCCAAUUAUCCAGCAGUGGUACUGUUCCUUUACAGUUGUGGGUAAUAAUAUGGUAGCUAGACCUUCAAAAUUUAUGUGUCUAAACUUUUGUUAGUGCUGUUUCUUUGCUAUUCUUUUACCUUUCUUGGUCAGAGCGAUGUAGUGGGAGCUGCAAGCUUCACGUGCUCAACUUUGGCAGAGAACUUUGGCAAAGUUAUUUGUGGUACCCAUGAGCUAUUGUUGCGUGUGGGAAGUGGGUGAUUGAACAGUAAGAUUCAUGUGCUUUCUACUUCACCAGAAGUCUUCGACAGAAUGCCCAUAAUUUCUGCAAAGCUGAGUGUGCGUGUGACAGUUGCUGACAAGGCUAGAAAAGUAGGUGCCUCUUCGAUUUCUGAGAUCGGCCCUCGUGGUCUCUGAGCAGCCCAGCUUUUGAGAAAGCGAGCACCUCUUCGAUUGAUUCGGAGAACGAUGCCUCAUCGAUUUUUGAGCAAGCAAUCAUGCUGGGGGUCUGGCUCUCGAGAUUCGGGGAGCAGUGUCUCUUCGAUUUUUGAGAAAGUAAUCAUGUUGGGAGUCUGGCUCUCGAGAUUCGGAGGGCGGUGCCUCUUCGAUUUUGGAGCAAGCAAUCUUGUUGGGAGUGUUUUCUCGAAUGUGAGUAAAGGUUGGGCAUGUUUGCUAGUCUACCUUGCCACGAAGCACAGAGGUUGACACACAGGGACUUUCCAAUUAUCCAGCAAUGGUACUGUUCCUUUACCCUCUCUUCGAUUUUUAAGAAAGUAGUCAUGUUGGGAGUCUGGCUCUUGAGAUUCGGAGGACGGUGCCUCUUCGAUUUUGGAGCAAGCAAUCUUAUUGGGAGUGUUUUCUCGAAUGUGAGUAAAGGUUGGGCAUGUUUGCUAGUCUACCUUGCCACGAAGCACAGAGGUUGACACACAGGGACUUUCCAAUUAUCCAGCAGUGGUACUGUUCCUUUACCCUUGUGGGUAAUAAUAUGGUAGCUAGACCUUCAAAAUUUUAUGGGUCUAAACUUUGUUAGUGCUGUUUCUUUGCUAUUCUUUUACCCUUCUUGGUCAGAGCGAUGUAGUGGGAGCUGCAAGCUUCACGUGCUCAACUUUG